rnacentral:rRNA from 1 species
AGCGAACGUUAGCGGCGGGCCUAACACAUGCAAGUCGAACGAGAAUAGGGGAGCAAUCCCCUUAGUAAAGUGGCGGACGGGUGCGUAACACGUGGGUAAUCUACCUUCCGGCGGGGGACAACAGUCCGAAAGGAUUGCUAAUACCGCAUACGUCAGCGAGGUCUACGGACCACGUUGGGAAAGAUGGCCUCUCCUUGGAAGCUGUCACCGGAAGAUGAGCCCGCGUCCCAUCAGCUAGUUGGCGAGGUAAUGGCUCACCAAGGCUUAGACGGGUAGCUGGUCUGAGAGGAUGAUCAGCCACACUGGGACUGCGACACGGCCCAGACUCCUACGGGAGGCAGCAGUGGGGAAUAUUGGGCAAUGGGCGAAAGCCUGACCCAGCCACGCCGCGUGAGUGAUGAAGGCCUUCGGGUCGUAAAGCUCUGUGGGGAGGGACGAAUAAGUGCCGUACUAACACUACGGCGCCCUGACGGUACCUCCUUAGCAAGCACCGGCUAACCAUGUGC